CUACGGGGUGCUCCAGUGAGGAAUAUUGCACAAUGGGGGGAACCCUGAUGCAGCAACGCCGCGUGGAGGAUGACGCAUUUCGGUGUGUAAACUCCUUUUAUAUGUCAAGAAAAUGACGGUAGCAUAUGAAUAAGCACCGGCUAACUCCGUGCCAGCAGCCGCGGUAAUACGGAGGGUGCAAGCGUUACUCGGAAUCACUGGGCGUAAAGGACGCGUAGGCGGGUUGGUAAGUCAGGUGUGAAAUCCUACAGCUUAACUGUAGAACUACACUUGAAACUACCGACCUAGAGUAUGGGAGGGGAAGAUGGAAUUAGUGGUGUAGGGGUAAAAUCCGUAGAUAUCACUAGGAAUACCUAAAGCGAAGGCGAUCUUCUGGAACAUUACUGACGCUAAGGCGUGAAAGCGUGGGGAGCAAACAGGAUUAGAUACCCCCGUAGUC
rnacentral:rRNA from 1 species